rnacentral:rRNA from 1 species
AUUGAACGCUGGCGGCAUGCCUUACACAUGCAAGUCGAACGGCAGCGGGGGAGAAGCUUGCUUUUCCUGCCGGCGAGUGGCGAACGGGUGAGUAAUACAUCGGAACGUGCCCUGUAGUGGGGGAUAACUAGUCGAAAGAUUAGCUAAUACCGCAUACGACCUGAGGGUGAAAGUGGGGGACCGCAAGGCCUCAUGCUAUAGGAGCGGCCGAUGUCUGAUUAGCUAGUUGGUGGGGUAAAGGCCUACCAAGGCGACGAUCAGUAGCUGGUCUGAGAGGAUGACCAGCCACACUGGAACUGAGACACGGUCCAGACUCCUACGGGAGGCAGCAGUGGGGAAUAUUGCACAAUGGGCGCAAGCCUGAUGCAGCCAUGCCGCGUGUAUGAAGAAGGCCUUCGGGUUGUAAAGUACUUUCAGCGGGGAGGAAGGCGGUGGAGUUAAUAGCUUCACCGAUUGACGUUACCCGCAGAAGAAGCACCGGCUAACUCCGUGCCAGCAGCCGCCGUAA